GCAAUAGCCCUGCUCCUUCCAGAGGAGGUUUGCCCUGUGCUGGGUUAAAGGAGGAAGUCACGGUGUGCAACAACAACAAAUGCCCAGUUGAUGGGAUGUGGUCUCCAUGGGCAUCCUGGACUCCCUGCCCCAUCUCUUGCGGCCUAGGUGUGGUGAGCCGAUCUCGACGAUGCAAUAAUCCUGCCCCAGAGCAUGGGGGAAAGAAUUGCACUGGACACAGAUAUGAGGAAGGUUCUUGUGGAUUUCCAGAGGACUUUUGCAAAUAUUUGAAGCGACCAUCUGAAUCCAUUAUACCUGGGAAACUGAUCCAGUAAUCAGUCUAAAGAAGUUAGUGUGCUGAAAAACUGUUGAAAUUCACUGGCCUCUAACUCACUUCUAUGCCUUUUAAAAGCCCAGCUGUACUGAAAAGUUCCAAAAGAAACCUGCCUCAAUAGAAAACUUAAAGUCAUGAUACUUAUCGGAAA